rnacentral:misc_RNA from 1 species
GUAUAGGUUUAAUGACUGCUUGCGCAAUCGUUAAAAGACAUUCUGUAACUUUAUAGUGUAUAUGAAAACAUAGUCUUUGAGAGCAAGAGAGAGAAAAGCAAGCAGAGGAAGGGCUCGCGCCCAGUCCCCCAAACCGCAUUGCUGCGAGAGGGUUCACUUUCACUUCUUGUUCAAAAAGACUACAAAAGGUGCACAAGAGAAGAUAAAUAGUAUGGAACGAGCACAUGCUCAGUAAAGAGCCAGCAUCAGAACCAACGUAUUCAAUAAUGAUCCUUCCGCAGGUUCACCUACGGAAA